UUAAAACUUUAUUGAUCCUUAACUAAUAAGCAUUUUAGGUCAGAUUGAGAUUACAAAAUGACAUGAAAAUAAAAUGGAAUAAAAAGAAGUUCAUUACAACCAAUUUACAAGAAACAAUGAUGAAUGAAAGGAAAACAAUCCAAUUAAAUAUCAGUUGGAACCACGACUGGUUCAUCUUAAAAUUGUAACUUCUUUCCUCGACUUCCAAGUUUCAAGAACUAGCUCUAAUGACUCCAAAAGGUGGAGGUUGGUGAUGAAAAUGAUGGAACAUAGUAGGAGAUAAUGAAUGAUGAAAGUUACGACUAGAGAAUGAUGGUGGCUCCUAAAAUUAGGGCAAAA
rnacentral:lncRNA from 1 species